CCCCACACUGGUACUGAGAUACGGACCAGACUCUUACGGGAGGCAGCAGUGAGGAAUAUUGGACAAUGGUCGGAAGACUGAUCCAGCCAUGCCGCGUGCAGGAAGACGGCCUUAUGGGUUGUAAACUGCUUUUGCAGGGGAAGAAUAAGGACUACGAGUAGUUUGAUGACGGUACUCUGCGAAUAAGCAUCGGCUAACUCCGUGCCAGCAGCCGCGGUAAUACGGAGGAUGCGAGCGUUAUCCGGAAUCAUUGGGUUUAAAGGGUCCGUAGGCGGGCUAAUAAGUCAGAGGUGAAAGCGCUCAGCUCAACUGAGCAACUGCCUUUGAAACUGUUAGUCUUGAAUGGUUGUGAAGUAGUUGGAAUGUGUAGUGUAGCGGUGAAAUGCUUAGAUAUUACACAGAACACCGAUAGCGAAGGCAUAUUACUAACAAUUAAUUGACGCUGAUGGACGAAAGCGUGGGGAGCGAACAGGAUUAGAUACCCUGGUAGUCCACGCUGUAAACGAUGGAUACUAGCUGUUUGGUUGUAAGACUGAGUGGCUAAGCGA
rnacentral:rRNA from 1 species